GGAUGUGGCUGUGACAUCUGUCACCCCAUUGAUAGCCAGGGUUGAUUCGGCUGAUCUGGCUAGCUAGGCGGUGUCCCCCCCCCACACACACACACGGCUCCAUGUGCAUCCCUCCCGAAGCUGCGUGCUCCAGUUAAGAGGACAGCCUGCACUAAACUGAGACUGACCUGCCUUCAGUCAAGGGUAUGAGUAGCUGUGCUCCCUUGCUAGAACUUCCAAACAAACUCUCAAAAAAUUCCCUUUCCUGAUUUGAUUCCCAGUAUUAGCAAUAGCCAGAGUUAAGGGUGCUCUGGUCAAAAAACAAGCAAGUCGUCUGGGAGGUGGCACAGUUGAGUGAUAGUGCUU
ensembl:misc_RNA 7SK 7SK RNA